AUAAUUUUCUGUGUGUAGACAAUUUUCUUCCUGUGGUUUGCUCUUUCUGGAUGGCUGUUUCGUUUCCUGAUAUUUGCAACGUGGGUGCUGCCAUUUGCUGGUCCUCUUUUAAUAGGGGCUGUCGCCAACAAUCUUGUCAUCAAGGGAGCAUGCCCUGCAUGUAGGAGACAGUUUGCUGGAUAUAAAAACCAGACGGUUCGUUGUGCAAGUUGUGGAAAUAUAGUAUGGCAGCCUCAAGGUGACUUCUUUUCAAGAGGGAGCCAAGGUUCGAGUUCCUCUUCAAAGUCUGAACACGAUGUAAUUGAUGUUGAGUUCGAGGAGAAAUGAACUUCGAAUACCAAGUGGCUCCUCUGAGGGUAUCUUUACUGAUGAUGUCUUCCAAAACUAAGAUUGAUUUUCAGAUCUUUCAACAAUGAAUUAAAAAUACCAGGUGGCCAGACUCGGUCUGCAUCCACUGAGGAUGUCAUGCAAAAAUAUUUAAGGAAUUCAAAUGUUUUAGCUGUGUAUUUAGUUGUGCUUGGCAAAAAUUCUUCCUCCUCUUCCUAUAGUUGUGCAUUGUGGUCUCUGUAUGGUCAGUGUUGCUAUUUCUGUAGGUGUAAAAAAGUGUUUAGAAGAAAGGUGAUGAAUGCAUAAAUUGACUGUUCACAACAACUGUCCUUGUGGACCAUGUCACUGUUCCAUUAAAGCGGGGAAUAGUCUUUUUGAGUUUUUCAAUUUUGAUAAAUACGUCUUGCUUAUUCAUUUCUAUUUUCCGCUUCAUGGAAUUUCUGUAGAAUUGUAUUCAAUUAAAUAGGACAUAACAGAAAGAAAGUAUUAAGAGUCAUGAUAUAGGGUAUUUGAUUUUUGUAA